UCUAGUCCCUCACUCACGUCAUUACACAUUCAAGACUGUCGGGGACAAUAAUCUCUCCAGAGAAGCAGUCAGACUUAGUAAGAGAAGAUUACUUAAAUGGGGUAUCCCAUUCAAGGAUAGGUAAUAACAUUUGUGCUGGUAUUCUACUUACUUUCUCCUACCUUCUCUGGUUCAGCCUUUUGUUCAUCUCACCUCAAGUCAACUGUAUAAAGUGGUGGAAUCCGUUGAAGCGCUUCAUUCAGAAACGAAGGAAUUAGCUUUAUUAGAAUGUCGUGCGUCCAGCAGAACCUCUUUGUGGUAAAAAGAAUGAAGAGAUCCACGUCCAAUGUAAUUCUCAAGACGGUGCGGUAGUUUGAGCAAUGUAGGCGUGAUGAAAAGGACUGGAUAUCUGUCGCCCACGAUAGAUCAACAACAACUGGUAUCAAAUGGAAAUGGACACGUCUGAAUAAACUUGCCAUUCGUAUACCCUUGUCGGGAUUCUUCUGUGCGUCGCACUCGACGAGUAGACUACCGACCUUUUGGAAACGUGUGAGCUGUAACUUCAUGAUUCCAUACAAUAGCUACCCACGUGUUUCUUCUCCCGUUCCGACAGAUACUACAGGACAAUCGCAUCUCGUCAAGGGAUUUUGAAACUAUUUUCAAGCUGAAAGUAUUGCUCUUUCGUAGGUUGGCGUUUUCUGUAAAGUUUUGAUGUUUGCAUUCGCCAAAUUCAAGAUCGCUGUUUACAGUGGAAUCGAUAUAAACCGACAGAAUUGUGCGUCUCCAGGCGAUCGCGACCUAAGGAGCAAUACUGGGUUUGGUUAUCAUAAACUUGCCGCCAUUCUAAGAAAUCAAUUAUUGUACUCAAUAUAUGAAGUAGAUACUACUUUACUUUCUAAA